rnacentral:rRNA from 1 species
UGGGGAAUUUUGCACAAUGGGGGAAACCCUGAUGCAGCGACGCCGCGUGAUUUAGAAGGCCUUCGGGUUGUAAAAAUCUUUUCUAUGGGAAGAAAAUGACAGUACCAUAGGAAUAAGGACCGGCUAAUUACGUGCCAGCAGCCGCGGUAAUACGUAAGGUCCGAGCGUUGUCCGGAAUCAUUUGGCGUAAAGGGUACGUAGGCGGGUAAGCAAGUUAGAAGUGAAAUCCUAUAGCUCAACUAUAGUAAGCUUUUAAAACUGCUCAUCUUGAGGUAUGGAAGGGAAGGUGGAAUUCCUAGUGUAGCGGUGAAAUGCGCAGAUAUUAGGAGGAAUACCGGUGGCGAAGGCGACUUUCUGGCCAUAGCCUGACGCUGAGGUACGAAAGCGUGGGUAGCAAACAGG